rnacentral:tRNA from 1 species
UGUCCAGAAUUGGGAAUCGAACCCACAGUGUUCCGCUUACCGGGCAGAUGCCAUGUCCACUAGGCUACCCUGGAC